rnacentral:miRNA from 1 species
UGUUGACUUUGGGAGGGCCCCGGAA